GGGCAAGUGCUUCUUUUAUAGGACUUCUGAAAGUAUAUGUGGGUGCAUGGAGCGGAAUGAAAAUAUUUUGCAAGUACAGGAAGAAGAAACGAUGCACGGCGAGAGAAACACCUUGUGAAAUUGUGAUGUCAGAACAAAUGGAAUGUAUGUUUCCUUGUAUGUCUAUCUCGGGCCACUUAAUGGAGCUACAAUUAAUUGGCCAUGAGCAGAGCAACAUUCGUUUGUCUCAGCUCUCUACUGACUCUCGAAAUGUUGUGCAAAACUGGUUCUGUUCAGCAAGGACAUGCAUCACAAGGUACCAAAAUACCAAGCAUCUGGUCCUCCAAAUGGCUCACGGAAAUAUCCAUGUGGUGCAAAGUAAUGAUCUAUUCUCUAGAGAUGCAUUUGGUUUGUUUGUGCAUCAGUUGAACACUCGGUUUUAGUGGAGAAGUUACUGGACGUUCCCUGUGUGGUAUGGCGCACAAGGUGCCUGAUGCUUGAAACUUAAGGAUCACAGUGUUGUCCAAUUUUUCAGCUUAAUUCCCCACGACAUUCUCCAGUUCAUGACCGAAAUGUUCGUACACUAGUGCUUGUUACAGGAAUAUCACCCAACGAUGAACAAUUUACCUCCAUUGCACCUGCUAGUCGAUCCAUAGUAAUACACUGGGAAGCCAUUGUGCAUAUGGGGCUCUAUCUUGAGCAGGCAUUUCCCACACACACAGUGGAGUCCUUGAUUAUGGCCGUGCUACAACAACAUAUCAGCAAGAAUCCCGUUGAGCUAUCUAGCCUCAAUGGCAGUCCAACAAAUUUGCUUCUCAUUGAUACUGUUGAUAUGCUGGGCUCUGACCUACAUCGCUACCAGCUGGGCAUGUCUUCGGAUCCUGGAGGCCUUAGAUUGUUGUUGCUAAGGAAAUUGACUAGACGGGAGGUGUUUCAGAAAGGGAGGUGCGCCACCUUGGUUGCCCGCUGUCUUGUCACCUUCCCAGCUUCUACUUUUUGGUCGUCGACAAUUAUGAUGGUGGAGGUGAUUAACAAGAGAGCACAUGCCACGGGGGAUAUAGUACCCUCUACCGGCUACGAUCAACAACGUUCUCAAGGAGGGAGGGGUGUAAUCCCUAUCGCUGCCUGCUUCACACAAGGCUCCGUCGACCGCAAGUACUCCAUCAGCUUCAACAAUGACCACUUCCUCGACAGUUCAUCCGACUGGGUCACCAUAGUCCAUGACUACUACUCCCAUGUCAUUGAAGGCACCCCACCUUCUGCUACCGCCGUGACUACGAGCAAGUAAACGACCAUCGAGUGCAAUGGGACCCGGGCGGUUCUUGGCGAUGCUGGCUUGGGGUCAAGCCGGAUUUCAAGGAGGGAGGGAUGUUAGGAGCCCUCCUAACCUGUACGCGCACAAGGCCUACCCCUUGGGCCAGCCCAUGGACUUGGCCCAUUUGAGACUCAUCGCUCCAACUACUUAAGCCCGGCGCUCAGAAGGAGAGGGCAUCCAGUGGAUCACCGAACGAACCGGCGGCGGCUACCUCCUCCCCUUUCUCUGUUCUUCUCCUACCUUGUCUCCCUCUGUUUCUGUAAUCAAAUUUGUAUGUAAUCGAAGCUUGUAACUCAAACUAGUGAGAGAUCGUAGUAGAUCGAGUGAUCCCCAACUUGUCCCUUACAUCUGGUAUACAGAGCCAGGUUCCACCCUUCCCCUUCAAUUUUUUCUCCCAAUUCCUACAAUUCCACCGGUGACAACACCAUGCCCGCCGUCAAACCACCAGAGUGGGAUGCCAUGUCCGCCAAGGAGCAGCUGUUGUGGUAUCUCGAGAGGUUAUGUGCUCAGGUAGACGAGAUGUGCUGAGCGUUGGGUAUUGCACGAGUGGGUGACCCUCCCGUGGUCACCUCGCUUGUCGAUCCGGAGCCUCAACCACGAUGCAUGUCUCACCUAUGCCCGUCCCCGACAUCCGCGGCUACACCACCAAGGCUCAGGAAGUGCUCGAGGUCAUCCACGAUGCGCCCCCUGCUUGCAUCGCAAUGGCACACAUCACCUGUUCGACGGAUGACUCAAACCAAGUAGUUGCCACCAACAGCGUCAACAAGGUCACCACCAUCUACCCCGAGCCCGUCAUCCACCUCAGCGACAAGAAUGUGGAUCAGCUCACUGACUCAGCCGUGAGUGACGAGUUCCUUGUUGUGGUGACCGCCACGGUAGUGUCUUCCAACCCGGGCAAGUACUCAGCGGUUGAGGCCCCUCCCGAUGUCCUCACCACACCUGCAGUACCUACCAGCGUUUCCUCAUCCACCACAAAAGGCCAAGGAGGUCUUUGAGGUUGCUUAUGAUGUGCCCCUGGACUGUGUCGCCAAGACAUUCGUGAGUUAUUCGACGAAUUGUUUGAACCGAGUCGUCUUCACAUCGUCGUUCCGGGACCAUGACCUGAAUGUCUCGUUGCCCACAAGGCACCAAGGACUUUUGAUGCGGCCGACACCAUGGCCGUCGUUUGCAAUUGUUUGCCACCAGAGGUCUGCUAUACUAAUGGUCGCCAUUGGAAUUUCCAGAUGCCUACUUCUGUCCAUGACCUGCAUCCAUGGACGUUCAAGACACAUGCAUAUCUGAUUUCCCAAGUGCAUGGCAAGGGAUUGAGUAGUAGUUACCUUUCUGUGAAUGUGUUACAUAUUGGAGAGCUGGUGUCCAAUACAUGGGGGCGGUGGCUCGGUCUACUUGGAAACUGGAGAAGGGUACGCCCAGGUCAGCUGUUGUGCUUGUGGUUUUUGAAACGGGACAGUGAUGAUUCAGGUUUCAGCACACAGCUCUUUCCUGAAGGUCAAUUUCAGAGCAUGCAUAAAAUGGGUGCUCUAAGCACAGAAAAUUCAAGUAGUAUUUUCCUUCGGUUCAUGCAAUCUAGACCAUAUGAACUAGUAUGUUAUGGUGAAAUCAACUAUCCAUUAUUCAGUACACUUGGCCUUUGCAUGGAUAAACAUUCACUCAAUAUUUUUAUGCUGCCUUGUGAGACUUUGCUGGACACGGGAUGUCGCUAUCAGAUGAUGUAUGGCAAAAUCGAUUCAAAAAUGGUGCAACCAUCAACUAUUCAGCAUGUACAACCAACUUGUUACUUUCCGGUGGGUGUUGUUCGAGCAAAUCUGAAACAGAAGGAAGUCGAUGGUGCUAUGGUUUACAUGCUGGAGGAUACAACUCAUCAGGAUUUGGAGUUACUGCUCUGUUUCCACCAUCCACCUGAUCCAACAAGUACUCGGGAGUUCAUAACUGGCCGAAGCUUUCAUCGGGGCCAAGCCUUAUUGGGUAAUUCUCGGAUGGGGGUCUGCUAUUGCGUGCUAAUUCUUAUGGAGGAACCUUUCAAUUGCUUGACUGAUACACAACUGCAGUUUGGGCGUCUAUCGGAUCAGGCAACAUUUGAUGGUAAGCAAUUAAGUCGGGAAUGGAUAGAUUCGAGAACUAAUGGAACGAAUUGUGGGGAAAAUGCUUCUUUUACAGGACUUCUGAAAGUAUAUGUGGGUGCAUGGAGCGGAAUGAAAAUAUUUUGCAAGUACAGGAAGAAGAAACGAUGCACGGCGAGAGAAACACCUUGUGAAAUUGUGAUGUCAGAACAAAUGGAAUGUAUGUUUCCUUGUAUGUCUAUCUCGGGCCACUUAAUGGAGCUACAAUUAAUUGGCCAUGAGCAGAGCAACAUUCGUUUGUCUCAGCUCUCUACUGACUCUGGAAAUGUUGUGCAAAACUGGUUCUGUUCAGCAAGGACAUGCAUCACAAGGUACCAAAAUACCAAGCAUCUGGUCCUCCAAGUGGCUCACGGAAAUAUCCAUGUGGUGCAAAGUAAAGAUCUAUUCUCUAGAGAUGCAUUUGGUUUGUUUGUGCAUCAGUUGAACACUCGGUUUUAGUGGAGAAGUUACUGGACGUUCCCUGUGUGGUAUGGCGCACAAGGUGCCUGAUGCUUGAAACUGAAGGAUCACAGUGUUGGCCAAUUUUUCAGCUUAAUUCCCCACGACAUUCUCCAAUUCAUGACGGGAAUGUUCGUACACUAGUGCUUGUUAUAGGAAUAUCACCCAACGAUGAACAAUUUACCUCCAUUGCACCUGCUAGUCGAUCCAUAGUAAUACACUGGGAAGCCAUUGUGCAUAUGGGGCUAUAUCUUGAGCAGGCAUUUCCCACACACACAGUGGAGUCCUUGAUUAUGGCCGUGCUACAACAACAUAUCAGCAAGAAUCUCGUUGAGCUAUCUAGCCUCAAUGGCAGUCCAACAAAUUUGCUUCUCAUUGAUACUGUUGAUAUGCUGGGCUCUGACCUACAUCGCUACCAGCUGGGCAUGUCUUGGGAUCCUGGAGGCCUUAGAUUGUUGUUGCUAAGGAAAUUGACUAGACGGGAGGUGUUUCAGAAAGGGAGGUGCGCCACCUUGGUUGCCCGCUGUCUUGUCACCUUCCCAGCUUCUACUUUUUGGUCGUCGACAAUUAUGAUGGUGGAGGUGAUUAACAAGAGAGCACAUGCCACGGGGGAUAUAGUACCCUCUACCGGCUACGAUCAACAACGUUCUCAAGGAGGGAGGGGUGUCAUCGCUAUCGCUGCCUGCUUCACACAAGGCUCCGUCGACCGCAAGUACUCCAUCAGCUUCAACAAUGACCACUUCCUCGACAGUUCAUCCAACUGGGUCGCCAUAGUCCAUGACUACUACUCCCAUGUCAUUCAAGGCACCCCACCUUGUGCUACUGCCGUGACUUUGAGCAAGUAAACGACCAUUGAGUGCAACGGGACCCUGGCGGUUCUUGGCGAUGCCGGCUUGGGGUCAAGCCGGAUUUCAAGGAGGGAGGGAUGUUAGGAGCCCUCCUAACCUGUACGCGCACAGGGCCUACCCCUUGGGCCAGCCCAUGGACUUGGCCCAUUUGAGACUCAUCGCUCCAGCUACUUAAGCCCGGCGCUGAGAAGGAGAGGGCAUCCAGUGGAUCACCGAACGAACCGGCGGCGGCUACCUCCUCCCCUUUCUCUGUUCUUCUCCUACCUUGUCUCCCUCUGUUUCUGUAAUCAAAUUUGUAUGUAAUCGAAGCUUGUAACUCAAACUAGUGAGAGAUCGUAGUAGAUCGAGUGAUCCCCAACUUGUCCCUUACAUCUGGUAUACAAAGCCAGGUUCCACCCUUCCCCUUCAAUUUUUUCUCCCAAUUCCUACAAUUCCAUCGGUAACAACACCAUGCCCACCGUCAAACCACCAGAGUGGGAUGCCAUGUCCGCCAAGGAGCAGCUGUUGUGGUAUCUCGAGAGGUUAUGUGCUCAGGUAGACGAGAUGUGCUCAGCGUUGGGUAUUGCACGAGUGGGUGACCCUCCCGUGGUCACCUCGCUUGUCGAUCCGGCAGCCUCAACCACGAUGCAUGCCUCACCUAUGCCUGUCCCCGACAUCCCCGGCUACACCACCAAGGCUCAGGAAGUGCUCGAGGUCAUCCACGAUGCGCCCCCUGCUUGCAUCGCGAUGGCGCACAUCACCUGUUCGACGAAUGACUCGAACCAAGUUGUUGCCACCAACAGCGUCAACAAGGUCACCACCAUCUACCCCGAGCCCGUCAUCCACCUCAGCGACAAGAAUGCGGAUCAGCUCACUGACUCAGCCGUGAGUGACGAGUUCCUUGUUGUGGUGACCGCCACGGUAGUGUCUUCCAACCUGGGCAAGUACACAGCGGUCGAGGCCCCUCCCGAUGUCCUAACCACACCUGCAGUACCUACCAGCGUUUCCUCAUCCACCACAAAGGCCAAGGAGGUCUUUGAGGUUGCUUAUGAUGUGCCCCUGGACUGUGUCGCCAAGACAUUCGUGAGUUAUUCGACGAAUUGUUUGAACCGAGUCGUCGCCACAUCGUCGUUCCGGGACCAUGACCUGAAUGUCUCGUUGCCCACAAGGCACCAAGGACUUUUGAUGCGGCCGACACCAUGGCCGUCGUUUGCAAUUGUUGUGCCAUCAGAGGUCUGCUAUACUAAUGGUCGCCAUUGGAAGUUCCAGAUGCCUACUUCUGUCCAUGACCUGCAUCCAUGGACGUUCAAGACACAUGCAUAUAUGAUUUCCCAAGUGCAUGGCAAGGGAUUGAGUAGUAGUUACCUUUCUGUGAAUGUGUUACAUAUUGGAGAGCUGGUGUCCAAUACAUGGGCGCGGUGGCUCGGUCUACUUGGAAACUGGAGAAGGGUACGCCCAGGUCAGCUCUUGUCCUUGUGGUUUUUGAAACGGGACAGUGAUGCUUCAGGUUUCAGCACACAGCUCUUUCCUGAAGGUCAAUUUCAGAGCAUGCAUAAAAUGGGUGCUCUAAGCACAGAACAUUCGAGUAGUAUUUUCCUUCGGUUCAUGCAAUCUAGACCAUAUGAACUAGUCUGUUGUGGUGAAAUCAACUGUCCAUUAUUCAGUACACUUGGCCUUUGCAUGGAUAAACAUUCACUCAAUAUUUUUAUGCUGCCUUGUGAGACUUUGCUGGACACGGGAUGUCGCUAUCAGAUGAUGUAUGGCAAAAUCGAUUCAAAAAUGGUGCAACCAUCAGCUAUUCAGCGUGUACAACCAACUUAUUACUUUCCGGUGGGUGUUGUUCGAGCAAAUCUAAAACAGAAGGAAGUCGAUGGUGCUACGGUUUACAUGUUGGAGCAUACAACUCAUCAUGAUUUGUAGUUACUGCUCUGUUUCCACCAUCCACCUGAUCCAACAAGUACUCGGGAGUUCAUAACUGGCCGAAGCUUUCAUCGGGGCCAAACCUUAUUGCGUAAUUCUCGGAUGGGGGUCUGCUAUUGCGUGCUAAUUCUUAUGGAGGAACCUUUCAAUUGCUUGACUGAUACACAACUGCAGUUUGGGCGUCUAUCGGAUCAGGCAACAUCUGAUGGUAAGCAAUUAAGUCGAGAAUGGAUAGAUUCGAGAACUAAUGGAACGAAUUGUGGGGAAAGUGCUACUUUUACAGGACUUCUGAAAGUAUAUGUGGGUGCAUGGAGCGGAAUGAAAAUAUUUUGCAAGUACAGGAAGAAGAAAGGAUACACGGCGAGAGAAACACCUUGUGAAAUUGUGAUGUCAGAACAAAUGGAAUGUAUGUUUCCUUGUAUGUCUAUCUCGGGCCACUUAAUGGAGCUACAAUUAAUUGGCCAUGAGCAGAGCAACAUUCGUUU
rnacentral:lncRNA from 1 species